ACCAAAUAUAACACAAACCCUAAUCCUAAAAGAAACUAACCCAGCCGCAUCUCCUCAACCCCCCACCUUGGUCCGCCGCUACAACAUGCCCAAACUCACCGGAAUCAGGCGAGUUAACUCGCAAACUCGUGCACAUGGUCCCUCCUCAUCUCCUUUCUCCACGUCACUCUAAUCCUAAGGGAUUUCUGACAAAACGAAAUUAUUCUUUCCGAAUUUUACGCACUCCCUCUUAUUUUUCUGUCAGAGUUAUGCUCUUUUGGCGAAAAUAGGAAAACUGUGGGGCGUAGGAUUGAGUCACACUCGAUCUACUCCUUACAUCUGUCUUAUCUCGCCAAACCGAGAUUGUUUUUUGGAUUUUUGGGGGUGAUUUUCGGAUUCCUUGGCAUCCAAGGAGAGAAGGUUCGAGUGAAUCUGUAAAUAGGAAGGAUUUUCAGUCAUAGAGGAGGGGAUUUCUUUUUAGGGCAGAAAUUUUGAGGAAAAUUAGGGAGUGCUCUUCUUCUUCUCGAUUGUCCUCUACGGUUUUCUUUUAAGUUUUAGUGUCAAAAAAUACAAAAACAAAAAAAGGCUAAAAGGCCACUGCAUCGUUUCAGUAGUUUUUUCUGAGUUUCGCUUGAUUCUGGGCUAAAUUCGGAAGUUAUUCCUUCUGUACUGCUACUGUUUAUGCUGCUCUGUUAAACUUGGCUUUAUACCUGGUUUUCUGACAUUUAUUUGGUCCCUUAUUUGUUGUUUCCUGCCACUAGCCAUUUAGCUGUUAUGCAUGACAGAGCCGAUUAAUAAGAGUAGCCCAGUGGCUAUUUUUUUAUAAAUCAGAGGUCUGUCCGAAGGAACGAGAGGUGUAUGAUUCAAGAAUAGCAAUGGUCGUGCAAGAUAUUGUGAAUGGAAUCAUGGAAUGCGUUGAACUAGCUUUAGAUUGUUGAAAUUUGUAAUCUAAAUCCCAAGCCCAGUUACUGUACAUGAUUGUUAAAUUCUUGACCCCAUGCCUUCAUGAAAUAUACAUAGUUGUCGAUAAUGAAUUGUAUUUGUUUACUUGAAAAUUUUCAUUAUUAUUGACAAAAUCAGCGUAUAGAUCCAUAUGUCUUUGAGUUCA